rnacentral:rRNA from 1 species
CCUACGGGUGGCACCAGUGGGGAAUAUUGGACAAUGGGCGAAAGCCUGAACCAGCAAUGCCGCGUGUGUGAAGAAGGUCUUCGGAUUGUAAAGCACUUUCGACGGGGACGAUGAUGACGGUACCCGUAGAAGAAGCCCCGGCUAACUUCGUGCCAGCAACCGCGGCAAUACGAAGGGGGCUAGCGUUGCUCGGAAUGACUGGGCGUAAAGGGCGCGUAGGCGGUUUAUGCGGUCAGAUGUGAAAUCCCCGGGCUUAACUUGGGAACUGCAUUUGAGACGCAUAGACUAGAGGUCGAGAGAGGGUUGUGGAAUUCCCAGUGUAGAGGUGAAAUUCGUAGAUAUUGGGAAGAACACCGGUGGCGAAGGCGGCAACCUGGCUCGAUACUGACGCUGAGGCGCGAAAGCGUGGGGAGCAAACAGGAUUAGAUACCCGAGUAGUC